CCGGCGCACGGUGAGUAACGCGUAUGCAACUUACCUAUCAGGAGGGGAGAACCCGGCGAAAGUCGGACUAAUACCGCAUAAAGCAGGGAUCCCGCAUGGGAAUAUUUGCUAAAGAUUCAUCGCUGAUAGAUAGGCAUGCGUUCCAUUAGGCAGUUGGCGGGGUAACGGCCCACCAAACCGACGAUGGAUAGGGGUUCUGAGAGGAAGGUCCCCCGCAUUGGUACUGAGACACGGACCAA
rnacentral:rRNA from 1 species